AUUGAACGCUGGCGGCAUGCCUUACACAUGCAAGUCGAACGGUAACGGGUCCUUCGGGAUGCCGACGAGUGGCGAACGGGUGAGUAAUAUAUCGGAACGUGCCCAGUAGUGGGGGAUAACUGCUCGAAAGAGCAGCUAAUACCGCAUACGACCUGAGGGUGAAAGGGGGGGAUCGCAAGACCUCUCGCUAUUGGAGCGGCCGAUAUCAGAUUAGCUAGUUGGUGGGGUAAAGACCUACCAAGGCAACGAUCUGUAGUUGGUCUGAGAGGACGACCAGCCACACUGGGACUGAGACACGGCCCAGACUCCUACGGGAGGCAGCAGUGGGGAAUUUUGGACAAUGGGCGCAAGCCUGAUCCAGCAAUGCCGCGUGCAGGAAGAAGGCCUUCGGGUUGUAAACUGCUUUUGUCAGGGAAGAAAUCUUCUGGGCUAAUACCCCGGGAGGAUGACGGUACCUGAAGAAUAAGCACCGGCUAACUACGUGCCAGCAGCCGCGGUAAUACGUAGGGUGCGAGCGUUAAUCGGAAUUACUGGGCGUAAAGCGUGCGCAGGCGGCUUUGCAAGACAGAUGUGAAAUCCCCGGGCUCAACCUGGGAACUGCAUUUGUGACUGCAAGGCUAGAGUACGGCAGAGGGGGAUGGAAUUCCGCGUGUAGCAGUGAAAUGCGUAGAUAUGCGGAGGAACACCAAUGGCGAAGGCAAUCCCCUGGGCCUGUACUGACGCUCAUGCACGAAAGCGUGGGGAGCAAACAGGAUUAGAUACCCUGGUAGUCCACGCCCUAAACGAUGUCAACUGGUUGUUGGACGGCUUGCUGUUCAGUAACGAAGCUAACGCGUGAAGUUGACCGCCUGGGGAGUACGGCCGCAAGGUUGAAACUCAAAGGAGUUGACGGGGACCCGCACAAGCGGUGGAUGAUGUGGUUUAAUUCGAUGCAACGCGAAAAACCUUACCUACCCUUGACAUGUCAAGAAUUCUGCAGAGAUGUGGAAGUGCUCGAAAGAGAACUUGAACACAGGUGCUGCAUGGCCGUCGUCAGCUCGUGUCGUGAGAUGUUGGGUUAAGUCCCGCAACGAGCGCAACCCUUGUCAUUAGUUGCUACGCAAGAGCACUCUAAUGAGACUGCCGGUGACAAACCGGAGGAAGGUGGGGAUGACGUCAGGUCCUCAUGGCCCUUAUGGGUAGGGCUACACACGUCAUACAAUGGCCGGUACAGAGGGCUGCCAACCCGCGAGGGGGAGCCAAUCCCAGAAAACCGGUCGUAGUCCGGAUCGUAGUCUGCAACUCGACUGCGUGAAGUCGGAAUCGCUAGUAAUCGCGGAUCAGCUUGCCGCGGUGAAUACGUUCCCGGGUCU
rnacentral:rRNA from 1 species